rnacentral:lncRNA from 1 species
UCUGCUGCCAUGGUUAAUAUUUGAAAAUAACCUUUAACUGUUUAUGCAAGCACAGCUCGCCCUGUCCUUUCCUGUGAAUUCUGAAGUCUGUGGAAUUAACCCUCACUGCUGCCCUGUGACUCUUCACUUUCUGCUCUGCUUUUAUGGUGGGAUGAUGGAAAGUUUCUACACGUCAGGGCUGUGAUGGGACAUAGGCAUGGAAUCCACCCCCCAGCACCUGGCCAGCCUGGGUGUUAAACCUGCACACCUUUUUGUGGCACCUGGUCCCUUGCUGAAGAAGGGCUCAUCCUGCAUUUCGUUUUUGCUGAGGAGUGUCGGAAUCUGUGGGUGUUGGUGAUUCCGAGAUUGUAGAAAGUCUCUGUCUUUCUGCCCCGUUGCCAAAGAAGAAGCCAUAAUUGGUCUGUGCUGGUUUCAAGGUUGUUUAUUUUUGCUUAUCUAUAACAAGUUCUGCUGCCCUGCCGCAGGUCUGUCCUGCAGGGCAGUGUGCGGGGCUCUGCCCCUCAGUGGGAUGGUACAAACAUUAUAUACAAAAAAUUACGUGUACUAUAUUUACAAUAAUGUGCCAAUAUCUAUCAUCUACGUUGAAUAGUGUGUCCCUAGCCUAAACCAAUAGAAAAAUGCCAACAUCACCAAGAACAUGGAGGUAAGGAAGAAGAAGGAGGAAGAACAGGAUCAGGUCCACUUUCCUCCAUCUUAGAACUCCUGACCCCCCUGUACAAAGUAAAACCCCCCUGUACAGGUGUUAAAACCCCCCUGUACAAUACUAAAAAAUUUUACCCUCUAAUUUGUGACUACUUUUACUAUACCAUCUAACCCUCUGUGACUGCUUGUUCCACCUUUAAAGUUGGUAAUUCAUUCCAUGGUUCAAACUCAAAAUCACAGCUGUUUUCUGCUGUUUGCCAGGGUCUAAAAUGCUUCUGACCAAGGCCUGGAACCUCUAAAAAUGUCUGAGGGACAUUUUGAGUUCCGACAGAGGAGCACUGACCCACACCUGUCCUGUGAGAUACAAGGAGCUUACUCUGGCUCUUCUCCCCAUUUUUGAAGAACUUCUUGGGACAUCCCCAGGUGGAGUCCAGGGACACAGUGCAGUAGCAGACAACAAUGGAUAUGUGUCACUGAUAAAUUGAAGAAUCUGCCACCAAAAUACAUUUGGAGGCUAAUUUGACAUUUUGCUGAUGGGUUGUCCAACCCGAAUAUCUUAUUUAAAUUAUGCUUACAAAUACACCACGACCUCUGAACACUUCAGUAAUGGGUUUGAGCCAGGAGUGAGUUGUGUUUCACUGAAGUAAUUAUUUAUUCACUUAAUGGGGACUGAUGGUUUUGCUCAGCUGGGAGCUGUACAUAAUUAAAACCAUGGUCCCUGCCCCAAGAGGCUUCCAGUCUGAAAGAUGAAGCAAAGGCUGUGCCAACAGAAAUUGCAGAAAUCCUGUGUGCUCAAACUGGAGGUCCAAAAGUUAUAUUAAAAAAAAAACCAAAUGUGAGCUUUUUUCAUACAACUUGAGACAGGGCAUUUGGGGCUAGCAUGUAUUUAACAGAGGUUUCUGCUUGCAUGGCUGCAACACUGAGAAAGAGAUGUCUGCUAUAAGUCAGAGGUCCUCCAAAAAGCUGUAAGAUAAAUGCAAACCUGCAGGAUAAAAAAUAAAAAAUUUAAAAAAUAUAUACCUAAUCCUGAAACUAUGCUCAGUGUAACCUGAGGAGAAACAUUGCCCAAACUGGAGCUGCUCCCCUUAAACCCAGCCCAGGAAAGUGGGAGCCAGAGCCAGACACCUUGCCCCAGGCAGAGCAGCGUUGAUCAAAGAGACC